rnacentral:rRNA from 1 species
GAUGAACGCUAGCUACAGGCUUAACACAUGCAAGUCGAGGGACCGGCGCACGGGUGAGUCACACGUAUCCAACCUGCCCUUUACUCGGGGAUAGCCUUUCGAAAGAAAGAUUAAUACCCGAUAUAAAGGAUGGGGAUGCGUUCCAUUAGGUUGUUGGUUAGGUAACGGCUAACCAAGCCUUCGAUGGAUAGGGGUUCGGAGAGGAAGGACACCAACAUUGGAACUGAGACACGGACCAAACGCGUACGGGAGGCAGCAGUGAUGAAUAGUGGUCAAUAGGCGCUAGCCUGAACCAGCCAAGUAGCGGGAAAGAUGAAGGCUUUUGGGUCGUAAACUUCAUUUAUGGAAGAAUAAGUAUUAUAUGAAUAAGGAUCGGCUAACUCCGUGCCAGCAGCCGCGGUAAUUC